rnacentral:rRNA from 1 species
AUUGAACGCUGGCGGCAUGCUUUACACAUGCAAGUCGAACGGCAGCACGGGUGCUUGCACCUGGUGGCGAGUGGCGGACGGGUGAGUAAUGCAUCGGAACGUGUCCUAAAGUGGGGGAUAACGCAUCGAAAGAUGUGCUAAUACCGCAUAUUCUCUGAGGAGGAAAGUAGGGGAUCGAAAGACCUUAUGCUUUUGGAGCGGCCGAUGUCUGAUUAGCUAGUUGGUAGGGUAAUGGCUUACCAAGGCGACGAUCAGUAGUUGGUCUGAGAGGACGACCAGCCACACUGGGACUGAGACACGGCCCAGACUCCUACGGGAGGCAGCAGUGGGGAAUUUUGGACAAUGGGCGCAAGCCUGAUCCAGCAAUGCCGCGUGAGUGAAGAAGGCCU